AAUGGGGGCAACCCUGAUCCAGCCAUGCCGCGUGAGUGAAGAAGGCCUUAGGGUUGUAAAGCUCUUUCAGCAGGGACGAUAAUGACGGUACCUGCAGAAGAAGCCCCGGCUAACUCCGUGCCAGCAGCCGCGGUAAGACGGAGGGGGCUAGCGUUGUUCGGAAUUACUGGGCGUAAAGCGCGCGUAGGCGGCGCAUUAAGUCAGAGGUGAAAGCCCGGGGCUCAACCCCGGAAAUGCCUUUGAGACUGGUGUGCUUGAGUGCGGAAGAGGUGAGUGGAAUUCCCAGUGUAGAGGUGAAAUUCGUAGAUAUUGGGAAGAACACCUAGUGGCGAAGGCGGCUCACUGGUCCGUAACUGACGCUGAGGUGCGAAAGCGUGGGGAGCAAAGAGGAUU
rnacentral:rRNA from 1 species